UUCAAUAAUAAGGGCCAUAUAAUUUGCCACAUCAAGCCUCGCCUGCCUCAUAAAGGAUCCAGUUAUUCCCUUUAAACAAAACAUUUCAUAGAUGAACAGUGCUCUCCUGUGAUCAAAGGCAGGAACUGCUCGCAUCAUAAAACAGGUGAAGGAUAUUGGAGGCUAUGUUAUCAAUUCCAGAAAAUCAGGAGAGCAAAUCACCAAGAGGUCGAGGAAUGGAGUCCAUACCAUGGUUUGCAGAUGGCUGUUCUAUCUUUGAGAAACAGAAGUCCAAGGGACUUUGGAAAUGCACUUGGCGUAGCACCUGACACAUACCAGGAUCACCCACAGCUGGACCUGGUUCAUUUGAGAGCAGAUUCAGGACCUUAAUGUGGCAGAAGGCACUAUUCUCUCCAGUUGCACAUGACAUAUUUCACCAGUAAUUAGGAGUGCAAUAAAUAUUAUUGAUUCUACUUACACAACAUCUCUAACUAUUCCAUUCUCAGCAGAAUCACCUUAAUAAUAAUAACUAACAUUUG